rnacentral:rRNA from 1 species
UCAAGCAGAAAGGGCACAGGGCGGAUGCCUUGGCACUAAGGGCCGAAGAAAGACGUGAUAAGCUGCGAUAAGCUUCGGGGAGGAGCAAAUAUCCAUUGAUCCGGAGAUCUCUGAAUGGGGAAACCCACAUGAGCAAACCUCAUGUAUCCAUACGCCAAUCCAUAACGUAUGGAGGGGAACCCGGGGAACUGAAACAUCUAAGUACCCGGAGGAAAAGAAAGAAAACUCGAUUCCGUAAGUAGCGGCGAGCGAACGCGGAAGAGCCUAAACCGGUGUGCGUGCACACCGGGGUUACGGACUGCAUUUAAGAUUCUGCAAUGUUAGUGGAACGGUUUUGGGAAAGCCGGCCGGAGAGGGUGAAAGCCCCGUAGACGAAAACAGAGCAGACUGAGCAGGAUCCAGAGUACCGCGGGACACGAGAAACCCUGCGGGAAGUGAGGGGGACCACCCCCUAAGGCUAAAUACCACUUAGUGACCGAUAGCGCAUAGUACUGUGAAGGAAAGGUGAAAAGGACCCCGGGAGGGGAGUGAAAGAGAACCUGAAACCCUGUGUCUACAAGCUGUGGGAGUGCUUUAUAUGCACGACCGCGUACUUUUUGUAGAACGGUCCGGCGAGUUGCGCACACUGGCAAGGUUAAGGACUGAAGGUCCGGAGCCGUAGGGAAACCAAGUCUUAAGAGGGCCAGAGUCAGUGUGGGCAGACCCGAAACCGGGUGAUCUAUCCAUGUCCAGGUUGAAGCUGCCGUAAGAGGCAGUGGAGGACCGAACCCACAUCCGUUGAAAAGGGUGGGGAUGAGGUGUGGAUAGGGGAGAAAUUCCAAUCGAACCCGGAGAUAGCUGGUUCUCCUCGAAAUAGCUUUAGGGCUAGCCUUGGUAGAGAUUUGCGGAGGUAGAGCACUGAAUUUCCUAGGGGGCGUCAAAGCCUACCGAAGAAUAUCAAACUCCGAAUGCCGCGUAAUUGCUUACCGGGAGUCAGACUGCACGAGAUAAGUUGGGCAGUCAAAAGGGAAAGAGCCCAGACCUUCAGUUAAGGUCCCAAAGUGUACGUUAAGUGGAAAAGGAUGUGGGAUUUCGAAGACAACCAGGAUGUUGGCUCAGAAGCAGCCAUUCAUUCAAAGAGUGCGUAAUAGCUCACUGGUCGAGAGGUCCUGCGCCGAAAAUGUCCGGGGCUGAAACGUACCACCGAAACUAAGGAAUCCAGCAAUGGAUUGGUAGAGGAGCAUUGCAUGCGGGAAGAAGCAGUACCGUAAGGAGCUGUGGACUGCAUGGAAGAGAGAAUGCCGGAAUGAGUAGCGAGAUAGAGGUGAGAAUCCUCUAGGCCGAAUAUCCAAGGUUUCCAGGGUAAAGCUGAUCUGCCCUGGGUAAGUCGGGGCCUAAGGUGAGGGCGAGAGCCGUAGCCGAUGGACAACAGGUGGAGAUUCCUGUACUAUGAUAUGACAGAACUGUGGGGACACGUGCAGAGAGCGGAAGCCGGGAAUGGGAUCCCGGUGCAAGCGAGGUACCAGAUGCGUUGGAAAAACCGCGCAUCAAUGGGAAGACGUGAUGCGGAGUGAAGUAUAGUAAUGAAGUCCGUGAGCUGUGCGUCAAGAAAAGCCGCUAUUGUUCAUACCAUACCCGUACCGUAAACCGACACAGGUGGAUGAGGAGAGAAUCCUAAGGCCGGCGGAAGAAGCAUUGUCAAGGAACUCGGCAAAAUGACCCCGUAACUUCGGGAGAAGGGGUGCCACUGAGAAGUGGCCGCAGAGAAUAGGCUCAAGCAACUGUUUAGCAAAAACACAGGUCUAUGCGAAACCGUAAGGUGAGGUAUAUGGGCUGACGCCUGCCCGGUGCUGGAAGGUUAAGAGGAGAGGUUAGCGGAAACGCGAAGCUUUGAAUUUAAGCCCCAGUAAACGGCGGCCGUAACUAUAACGGUCCUAAGGUAGCGAAAUUCCUUGUCGGGUAAGUUCCGACCCGCACGAAAGGCGUAAUGAUUUGAGCGCUGUCUCGACAAUGCAUCCGGUGAAAUUGAAGUACCAGUGAAGAUGCUGGUUACCUG